rnacentral:lncRNA from 1 species
GUUUCCAGCACGUACCUUUGGAGGACUUAUUCAACCAUGACCCUUGCUUCUCAUUCAUGGAGGAAGAGGAGUGAAGAAUCCAAGUGGCAGACUUGGGAGCUCUAGCCCAUCCUUUUCCCGUCCUCUUAUUUUUGGGGGUCGGCCUGCCUGCUUAGCACUAAAUCACAUCACUAUGGGCACCACUGAGGGUGGUAUUUGAGUCACCAACACAACAC